AGGGAAAUUGGGUUUAUUGAAUGAAAUAGUUUUAAUAUAGCCAGGACAUAUAUAUAUUUUUUUAUAAGUAUCUUUGUGUGUGCCAAGUGAAACUGACGAUAGGGGGCCGCUGAGUUUGAUGAAGGUGGAGAAUUGAAUUCGGACGAGAUUGAUGGAUCCAUAUCCUCCAUGGAAGGUAACCGGCAAUUUAUUUAGUCCCAUUUUUUCCGGCGAUGGCAGGAAACAUUUACAUCGAUUUCAAUUGAAGAAUCGAAAUAAAAAUUAGAUACUACUCGUUGACAAGUUGGCAAAGUUUAAAUGGAUUGGGAUACAUGUAACAUGGCAUGGAAACUAUACAACUCAUCGAAAGUGAACGCGCUUGCUGUUACGUCACGGUGGGAGGGCCGUUUUGUUUUUGCGCGUAGGGGAAAAAGAGAGACGCAGUUCGUGCAAACUCGGUCGAUGGCCGGCGCAUCAUCGGAUUAAAAAGUUGGGAGAAUUGAGUUACUACUAAAAUUUUGUUUGGUCUCUUUCGGCCGGUUGGGGUUUUUUAGAAGUGGAGGGACACAUCCGCUCGGGUUAUGUUUAUCGGGGCCGGAUGCAGCAGCCGCUAUUAUCGGACUUUAACCCCCAGCACAUGUCGCACUCGAUGCGGAUGUUGUUCCUUUCAAUGCAAACGCUUCGCGGUGAAAACGGCAGACGUGGACUGUCGCUCGAGGGAAACCGCGCAGGUGGCCAGUUUCGAUAGUUUGUUUCCCCCCUCAUUCGUUUUAGACCUGUUAGACAUUUGCAAACAAAUGACGGACACACGGGAUGAUGGAAGCCCAUAUAUUCCCAGCUGCAGAUCGCCUCAAAACGUGCCACAGACUCUCGACUAUUUUUCUCUGAUGAAGGCAAACAGAUUUGGUGCACCUGCUGGAAGCGGGGGCCGAGUCCGUCGGUCGAUAUGGAAAUGUCCCAGCCUUUUUUUUUUUAUUAUUUGAAACGAAAUAAAAAUACGGGGGGAUUCAAAUUUU